rnacentral:rRNA from 1 species
UACGGGGGGGGUAAGCGUUGUUCGGAAUUACUGGGCGUAAAGGGUUCGUAGGUGGCCCGCUAAGUCACACGUGAAAUCCCUCAGCUUAACUGGGGAACUGCGUGUGAGACUGGCGGGCUUGAGUGCAGGAGAGGAACGCGGAAUUCCAGGUGUAGCGGUGAAAUGCGCAGAUAUCCGGAGGAACACCGGUGGCGAAGGCGGCUUCCUGGACCGACACUGACGCUGAGGCGCGAAAGCUAGGGGAGCAAACGGG